rnacentral:rRNA from 1 species
AGUGAACGCUGGCGGUAGGCCUAACACAUGCCAGUCGAACGGCAGCACAGUAAGAGCUUGCUCUUACGGGUGGCGAGUGGAGGACGGGUGAGGAAUACAUCGGAAUCUACUUUUUCGUGGGGGAUAACGUAGGGAAACUUACGCUAAUACCGCAUACGACCUACGGGUGAAAGCAGGGGAUCUUCGGACCUUGCGCGAUUGAAUGAGCCGAUGUCGGACUAGCUAGUUGGCGGGGUAAAGGCCCACCAAGGCGACGAUCCGUAGCUGGUCUGAGAGGAUGAUCAGCCACACUGGAACUGAGACACGGUCCAGACUCCUACGGGAGGCAGCAGUGGGGAAUAUUGGACAAUGGGCGCAAGCCUGAUCCAGCCAUACCGCGUGGGUGAAGAAGGCCUUCGGGUUGUAAAGCCCUUUUGUUGGGAAAGAAAAGCAGCAGGUUAAUACCCCGCUGUUCUGACGGUACCCAAAGAAUAAGCACCGGCUAACUUCGUG